UACGGAGGGGGCGAGCGUUAUUCGGAAUUAUUGGGCGUAAAGGGCGCGUAGGCGGCCCUGCAAGUCAAAGGUGAAAUCCCUCGGCUCAACUGAGGAACUGCCUUUGAAACUGCGGGGCUUGAGGCCGGGAGGGGGUAGCGGAAUUCCCAGUGUAGCGGUGAAAUGCGUAGAUAUUGGGAGGAACACCGGUGGCGAAGGCGGCAUCCUGGACCAAUUCUGACGCUGAGGAGCGAAAGCCAGGGGAGCAAACGGG
rnacentral:rRNA from 1 species